AGUCAACAUGCCCAGAGGACGUGGAUAACCUCGGGAAACUGAGGAUAAACCGCGAUAGGUCAUAAUUACUGGAAUGUGUUAUGGCCCAAAUCUAUAUGGCCUCUGGAUUGGACUGCGGCCGAUCAGGCUGUUGGUGAGGUAAUGGCCCACCAAACCUUUUACCGGUACGGGCUCUGAGAGGAGGAGCCCGGAGAUGGGCACUGAGACAAGGGCCCAGGCCCUAUGGGGCGCAGCAGGCGCGAAACCUCUGCAAUAGGCGAAAGCCUGACAGGGUUACUCUGAGUGAUUCCCGCUAAGGGAAUCUUUUGGCAUCUCUAAAAAUGGUGCAGAAUAAGGGGUGGGCAAGUCUGGUGUCAGCCGCCGCGGUAAUACCAGCACCCCGAGUGGUCGGGACGAUUAUUGGGCCUAAAGCAUCCGUAGCCGGUCUUGCAAGUCUUCCGUUAAAUCCAGCUGCUUAACAGAUGGGCUGCGGAGGAUACUACAAGGCUAGGAGGCGGGAGAGGCAAGCGGUACUCAGUGGGUAGGGGUAAAAUCCUCUGAUCCAUUGAAGACCACCAGUGGCGAAGGCGGCUUGCCAGAACGCGCUCGACGGUGAGGGAUGAAAGCUGGGGGAGCAAACCGGAUUAGAUACCCGGGUAGUCCCAGCUGUAAACGAUGCAGACUCGGUGAUGGGCCGGCUUUAUGCCGGCUCGGUGCCGCAGGGAAGCCGUUAAGUCUGCCGCCUGGGGAGUACGGUCGCAAGACUGAAACUUAA
rnacentral:rRNA from 1 species